UACGUAGGGGGCUAGCGUUGUCCGGAUUUAUUGGGCGUAAAGAGCGUGUAGGCGGCCAAGUAGGUCCGGUGUGAAAACUCGAGGCUUAACCUCGAGAUGUCAUCGGAAACCAUUUGGCUAGAGUCCGGAAGAGGAAAGUGGAAUUCCUGGUGUAGCGGUGAAAUGCGCAGAUAUCAGGAAGAACACCAAUGGCGAAAGCAGCUUUCUGGGACGGUACUGAC
rnacentral:rRNA from 1 species